GACGAACGCUGGCGGCGUGCUUAACACAUGCAAGUCGAACGAAGUGGCGAACGGGUGAGUAACGCGUAAUCCACCUGCCCUUCAGAGGGGGACAAAAGUUGGAAACGACUGCUAAUACCGCAUACUGAAGGGGGGGAUGUCGUCUGAUUGGCUAGUUGGGGGGGUAAAGGCCCACCAAGGCGAUGAUCAGUAGCCGGUCUGAGAGGAUGAACGGCCACAUUGUGACUGGGACACGGCCCAGACUCCUACGGGAGGCAGCAGUGGGGAAUCUUCCGCAAUGGACGAAAGUCUGACGAAGCAACGCCGCGUGAGUGAGGACGGCCUUCGGGUUGUAAAGCUCUGUUAAUCGGGACGCGGUACCGGAAUAGAAAGCCACGGCUAACUACGUGCCAGCAGCCGCGGUAAUUC
rnacentral:rRNA from 1 species